UGCCGCUCCCUCACCUCGGUGGCGGCUGGCCUGAUAGCCCUCCUGCGGGGGGAGCCUGGACCCCGAAGUCCUCUGCGAUGGGGGUCAGUCACCCGGUAAAAAAAAUUCCCAUAUGAAGAAGAAAGACUUUCUUCAAUAUGAUGGAUUCAGAAGCUCAUGAAAAGAGGCGAAAAAUCCUGUCUCCUUCACAGCAGGAUAUAUCACCUCACACUGUUCAUGAGUUUAAGCAUUACCUUUGUGGCUGCUGUGCAGCCUUUAACAACAUCGCAAUCACAUAUCCCAUUCAGAAGAUCCUUUUUCGGCAGCAGCUGUAUGGACUCAGAACUCGAGGUGCAAUACUUCAGUUACAGAAGGAGGGAUUGCGAAAUUUGUACAGAGGAAUUCUGCCUCCGUUAAUGCAGAAGACUACAACAUUAGCACUUAUGUUUGGUCUCUAUGAAGAUUUCUCUUCCAUUCUUCGCCAGCAUAUCAGUUCUGAAAUUGUGACUCGAAAUGCGGCAGCUGCUCUGGCUGGUGCAACAGAGGCACUUCUGACACCACUGGAACGCGUACAGACAUUGCUGCAAGACAACAAGCAUCACGAUAAAUUUGGAAACACUUAUCAUGCUCUCAAGGCUUUGAGAUCCUAUGGAAUUGGAGAAUAUUAUCGAGGUUUGAUACCCAUUCUUUUCCGUAAUGGACUCAGCAAUGUACUAUUUUUUGGCCUUCGAGGACCCAUCAAGGAACAUUUGCCUGAAGCAAAAUCUUGUAGCGCUCAUUUGAUUGAUGAUUUUAUCAGUGGAGGUUUAUUAGGUGCCAUGUUGGGAUUCUUGUUUUUUCCAGUGAAUGUUGUCAAAACUCGAAUGCAGUCUCAGAUUGGUGGGGAGUUUCAGUCUUUCCCUAAGGUUUUUGGAAAAAUCUGGCUAGAGCGUAAUGGGAAAUUGACACAUCUUUUCAGAGGCGCCCAUCUGAAUUACCAUCGAUCCCUCAUAUCCUGGGGCAUAAUCAAUGCAACUUAUGAGUUCAUGUUAAAGCUUUUAUGAAAGAUGUCAUCAAUAAAUCCCAAUAAUAAGCUCAGUAGAACUUCCAAGAAGACUUUAGUUAUACCCUGGUUAACAGGCUGAAUACUAGACAGUGUCAUAACUCAAACUGAGCAAGAUGAAACAUGAGCAAAGUAAUUUUUCUUUGGGAUAAAAAUGAGAAUAAAGGUUUAUGGGUAGCAAAGUUAAAAUUAUUUUUAUCAAUACUUGCUAGGUCUAGACUUUUGUUAUCAUUAAUUACCAUCAGUGUCGAUGGAAAGGUUCAAAGUCCAAGACAAGAUUUUUUUUUUAAAAAAUAUAAAUUCUUUGAACCAUCUGUAUUAAAACUUGAGCUGCCAUGAACAGCUGGAGAAAGGAGCCCUAGUGUCUUGAGAUUUCUCAGGCAUUUUGUGCUUCACUCUCUUGUUUACUCUCUAGAGCUGUAGAAAAGGGUCUUUAGUUUUGCAAAACAGAGAAGAGAAGCAGCUCUAUUAGGUAUGGGCUUUUCAUGAAAACUGCCUACCUUUACUGUAAAGCCAAAUGUGUACAGUUACCAAAACUGGGUUGCUCUUAAGUCACAUAGGAUUUUAUUUGUGUUGAUGGAACUGAGCAACUUUUAUUCGCAAAAUAACUUCCUGUUCUGAAAGACUCAAAACUUUAAAUUAACAAUUAUAAGCUCUAGUUUUCUUUUCUAAAUGUAAUUCUCUUUAUUAGAUCCAAUAUUUAUGUUGAACCCUUCUUGAAUAACUUUAGAUGUUGAUUUAUCCUUUUUAAAGUUAAUUUCAUCACAAAAAUGAGUAAACUUGAAUCUGUUAGUUUGUCUUUUGAAACAAAAAUUUUCAUUCCAUUCUCACAUGACAUAGAACUGUGUUUCAUUGAAUUAGUGCUUCAUCAGCAAAGGUGUUUUGUUUUCUUGCAGAGUCAUAGUUAGGUAACUUGAAAUUCCACUAAUUCUAUAGACCUUCUUCCUCCCUCCCUCCCUUAAAAAGAAGCUGCUUUAUUUAGUUGUUACUUCAUCUCCACCUCAGGUAUGUGUCCUGGCUUUGCAAAAGUUCAUUAUUUUGUAGCCUAUGCUUUCUUUGGUUUCUGAACAUAAAGAAAAAUCCUGAACUCUUGCUUUCUAUUAGACUAGCUAAUUUUUGCAUUCACUUAGUAAAUUUGUGUUGGGACCCAAAUUUUACAUUAUCUUCACAAACCAUAAAACUCAUCCAAGUCUUAAAGUCCUGGGUAAGACUUUGGAAUUUUAGCGUUUGACACUAACUAGAUAUCUUGACAGCUAGUAGCUAAACAAAUUGGAAAUAUCAUUUAUGAAGAAAUGCUGUUUAAAUCUCUUUUUUUUUCUUCAGGUAAAUAACAUGGUUGAAAUGACUGACAUAAAUCAGAAUCUUACAAACAUCCUGAGAAAAUUAUUUUACCUGUAAAAGAGCUAUUAAAUAUUAUUUAACAUAGGUUGGUUUUAAAUAUCUUACAUCAGUGACUUUUCAACUUUUUUACAGGAAUGAUAAGUGGAUGUUGUAAAACAAUUUGAUGUCCUAACCUUGCCAUACAAAUGUUUUAAUAAUCUGUGAGAUUCUAUGCUUAAAAUCAAGGCUUUAACAAGUGGCAGUUUCCUAAGUAUUGCAUGGGAUUAGUUAGUGAAAAGUCCAGAAAGAAUACAUACUUCUAAAUACAGUAUAUGACUGGCUGAACUAGUGAAUUUUGACAACUUAUCUCCAACUAUAUGAGAUGAGAAUCUAGCAAACACCAUUUUUUAAAAAUUGCUUUAUAUAACAGCAUUAAUAGCUGUAAAGCAGCCCCAUAUGCUGGAAAUGAAAAAAUAUCUUACAAACAAAAGUAUCUUACAGACAUUAAGGAUAUUAUUAACACUAUUCAGGGUUAAAUGUUACCAUUUCAAAUCACCAAAUAUGUGUGUAUGGCAACCUAAACCUUAAAUAGAAGACGAUAUGAGCAAAUGGAGUGGAACUUUUCAGAGUUUAAAUUUUUAAAAAAUAUAUGAGGUAGUCCUUGACUUUGGUCAUGUUUUCAGACAAAACCUUUGGAAAUGUUCCCAAAUGCUGACACUUAUGUAUGCAUGCACUGUAAAUUAUUUCCCCCUCCAUUGUACAUUGGUCUACUGAAUUAACUGUAUUAUCUUUAUUCCAUCUUGACCUACUCCUGUGUUUACACUCCAGUUGGUAGAAGUUGUGUUCUUUUGCACUUUUGUAGACUAUAACUGAAACUAGAAUUUGGGGAGAAUGCCUAGUUUUCCCUUUCUAAAAAUGUGUUUAGUUUUGCUUUGUUCUUUUUUUUAAAAUAAACAAGUUGGCUCAUGAAAUAAUAUUUUUAAUGCUCCUAACUCUGAUGCUAUUUUGGAUUUCCUUGUCACUUUUCUACAGCAUGUGAAAGCCAGAAUGAAGAUGAUUUUGCAUCACACUAGACAUCUUAAAUUUGACAAAAGAUUGAAUGAUACAUGUGUGGAUCAUUUAGCCAUCUGCUUUGUUCUGGACUUUAAAAGAAAGAAGUAAUAGUAGGCUGGGCAAGAAGUGUUAAUCACUGAAUUUUCAACUUCAUCAUAACUGGCUUGCUGUAAGACUUUUGAAAAGGUUCUUUUAUACUUCCUGUGCCAAUCCCUCAGACUCAUAUCUGACCAAAAGUGGAUAGAAAAGUAUGGACAAGAUGGAGUGGACUGCACCACCCAGCUGCCUGAAGGCACUCUUAGCAAAUUUGCAGAUGACAAAAAAUUGGGAGGAAUACUCAGAAUGACAUAUUAAAGAUCUAAAAAGGUGACCACAUGCUAGAAUAGUGGGCUGAAAGUAAUGUGAAACUUCAUAGGGAUAAACAAACAUGACACUGAAGAAAACAAGGAUGAUGAUCAGCUAGAUUAAAUUUACAGUGGGGUUUGUGCGUAAGGCAAAUUUGAAGGUGCUGUCAAGUCUCAAGAUUCAUGAAAGUGUCUUAGAAAAAAUAUUUGUCCUGACCAGAGGCAUCUAGGGUGUUACAAUAUUCUGUGCCUGGAAUCAGGAAGACCUGAACUCGAAUUUAGCUUUAGACACUAAGCUAAAAGACCUUGGACAAGUCACUUAGCCUGUCAGCCUCAGUUUCCUCAUCUGUAAAAUGGGAAUCAUAAUAGAACCUACUUCUUAAGGUUAUUGGGAGGAUCAAAUGACAUUUUAAAGCAUUUUGCAAACCUUAAAGUUUAACUCUAUAAAUGCUAGGAUGUUAAAAAGAAUGUCAGUAAUUAUCCACAUACCCACUUUACCAUCUCUACAAAAAUUAUAUAAGGAUAAUCUGUAUGCACAUUGACAACACUUUUAAGGUUUGAGAAAGGAACAGGAAGACUUGUAAACUUUUAUAGAAUGACCACAUCUUUAUAGGCAUAUGAUUCAAAGGUGCAAAGAAUACAAUGAGCUCAUUGUGCUUUACUAUUUAUUGAUUAUAAACAGCAUUUGAUUUAGUACAGGAAAAUGCCACUUUUUUAAAAGCAAGAAAAAAACCAACCAGAUCAAGAAUGAUUGUACGGAUGGAUGGAUAGGACAUAGAAAAGAGACAGACAUUGCAAAUGGAUCAUGAGUCUGGUCUGUAGUUGAACAAGAGCAAAGCAGGACAGAUUGUAUUUGAGAAAUACAAGAUGCUUUUCUCAAUAACCCUAGGCUUCUCGCUGAAACAAAGGCCCAUUCUUUAAAAUAGUAUUCUCCUGAGCAAUUAUGACCAAUUUCUGAAUUAGAAGUUGAGGAUCCCUGAAAGGGUAAUGAAGAGGGACAUAGCAAACAUAAGCAAGCAGCAACACAUCAACAAAUGAAUUGUACACAGAUGUAAGAGAUGUCAUUGGACAAAUAUACGGCUAGGAAAAAAAUAGGCCUGUCAUGUAGCAAGAUCAGACAAUAGAUGACAUUGUCAAGCUGAAGGCCCACAGGGGAAAAAAAAAUAGGCCAGUUGCAUAGAACAUGUAGGCAUGGAUAAGUUGAGAUCAUGGUAAGGGAGCAACCACAAUGAUGAGAUCAUAGAUCCAUCCAAGUAAAUGGUAAAGUUCUACACUGGACUUUUUAUCAUUUGCACAAAUUAGGGAAGGUGAGGCUAGACACCAGUUCAUGUGAAAAAUAUACCUGGAGAUUUCAUUGGCUUGCAAGCCUAAUUUGAAUAAGCAGUAUGAUGUGGAAACCUAAACAAAAACCUAAUGCAUUCAAUUGAGUUAAUAAGAAUAUGGUACCCAGAGUAAGGGAGAUAAUUAUCCUGUCUUCAUGCUCUGGUAAGUCCAUACCUUUAGUGUUAGGGUCUAGGCACCAAAUUUUAGGACACUGACAAUCUAGUGUAUCCAAAAGAGAAAUCAGGAUUGUGAGAACUGUAAAUAAUGCAGGAGAUUGUUACUAGAGAUGUUUAUUUGCAUGGGAAAGAGAAGACUGGGGGAAAGAGGGUUAGAGCUGAUAGUUUCAAAUACAUGAAAGGACCGCCAUGCGGAAAAGGGAAUAAAUUGGUUUUUGUUUGGUCCCAGGUGGCAAUAUUAUGUAGAGGAACAACCAGUAAGUGUUUGAAGAAAGAAUUCAAGCCAAAGUCUACUAAGCCAGUCUACUUUAAAGAAAGUGUAUUUUCUGUCACUGGAGGCCUGCAAUCAGGCCAACUCAGCUGAGAUAUUUUAAAAGGAGAUUUCUUAUUAGGUUGUCACAAUGCCUCUUCCAAUUCAAGUGAGGGGAGAUAAUAUUCUUUAAAGUAAGCAUUCUUACUUUAAGUCAUUUGGCCUCUAAGCAAUGCUAUUCAUUUUUAAAUCUUAGUUUGAAGGAUAGUAUCUCUCUAGGUUCUUUCCUGUGGUGAAAGACAAAUGAUUGCCAUUUAGAUGUUCUGUUUCACUGCUUGGCAUUUCUUGUGAGAAGGAUGAUCCCAUAUCUUCUCUGUGUUAUUAGAAUGCAGAAAAUAAUUAAACUAAUUUAUUAAAUAAACUAAUAAACUUUGGUUGACAUAUAAGUUGAUGAACUGAUGUGUUAGAAGAGAUUUUAUUGUAAAGAUAUUUAACCCUUUUCUCAGGGAACAAGAACCAGUGAAAUGGAUAUGCUUAAGCCCUCCUUGCUGAUUUCCCAUUUCUUUACCUCUCCUCUGAAAAAGUUAAAGCAGACUGAAUGGCAGGAAAAUAUAGAUGCCAGUGGCAUAGUGCAAUGAAGGAUGCCAUACAGUAAAAUAAUUUUAAAAGGGUCCUUAGGUAGCUCAUAGUAAGUACAAGCAGCAUAAGGAAAGGUGGUUCUAAUAUGGAAACAAUUCCCUUGAAUAACAGUUGGAACUUAAUAUUGAAAAGAAACUGAAAUUUAGGUUAUCUUUUGCUAUAGAUGAGAUUUCUAAUAUAAUGUUAUCACAGGUACUGGAGUAUGUAGUUUUAACAUAUUGAUAGGUUGUCUUAUAUACAAAAAUCUGGAAACCUGCAUUCUCUCAUUUAUAUCCCCAAGAAAAACAGCCUGUAUAUUGAGUAUUUUGUAUAUUUGAUUAUUUCCAUCCAUAUUUAAGUCAAUGUCUCUGCUUCUCUGACUGUUGGUUUUUGUUUUUUAGCUUAUAUUGAGUGAUACAAAAACUCUUUGAUAGAGAAUACUGUCAAAAUACACUACUUGAAUGUGUGAUUUGGGCAGGGGCCUUAAAAGGGCAAAAGUGCCUAAGGAACAUUUUAGUCCCAAGAAAAAAUAUUAAAAACAUGAGUGAAGAGACUUUACAAAUCAUUUAGUCAAGGUGAUACAGGAAAUAAGUAGGAAUUUGAUUAAAUUGUACAGCUGAUGUUAACAAUACAGCAAACAUAGUAAGGAAAUAUACUCUGAUUAGGUGAUAUUGUAACAAAUGGACACAUUUUUGAGAAUGGAAAUUUUUAACUCAAGGACUUUUUCAUAUCCAUCUCCCUGACUUAACAGGUUAAGAUAGCUGACACAGAUCUGCAGCAAAACUGAUCCAAGUAAAUAAUCCAUUAUUGAUAUAAUUGGCACAUACUUCAUAGUGAUAUGGAAGUGACUGUGUUCUUAAAGUCAAAACAAAGGAAACAUAAGGCUGUGACAAGUCCUAUCAAAUUGGAAAAGUUUUGUGUAUGACCCAUUGAUGUUUGCUGUCCAAGGACCAGCCUAAGUCCAGAGACUUUAAUCACCAGAGGCUGGUAAUUUUUUUUUUCUGCAACAGGAAACUUAAGACAGUAAGACAGGUAGUAAUAACAUACCAAUGAAUCCUUGGAAUAUCUUAGUAAAUUUUGUAAAAAUAAAGCUCCUCAGGUAAGGAGGUUGUGUUCCCUGGUUCCAAUUUAAUGUCUGUGGCAGACAGGUUAAUGAGUUCUAAUUUCACAGAUCUUCAAAAUAAAUUCAUCACAAAACUAAACAAUGACCGAUUAAAACCUAUUGCAGGGAAAGCUGACUACAAAACUCAGACCCUAAGAAAAAAAUGAUUGCCACAGUUUGGGGUAGGUCAAAAGGUAGAGAGGUCUACCUGAUUUUUCGCUUUGUUCAGAGGGUUUUUGGAUGUGAUCAGGAAGCUUAUCUAUGAUAUCCAAGCUGCCUAGGAAGAGACACCUACUCAUCAGACUAGCUGUGUCGAAGACAAUAAGCUGUGCUAAUUAAGUGCCCAGAUUAAUUUGACUAUUUUGAGAAUUAAAUUUUAGUUUUUAAAAAUGUAGUGAAAUGUUUACUUAGUCUUCAUUUAUGCAAACAAACUUCAAAUUGCUUAGGAAUAAAUACAAUGUAUUCGGAACAAAUCUGAUACUCUUGUCACUCUGUAACCUUCAGAACCAAUUUUUUUUUUAAACACAUAUAAUCUUGUCUGUGUCCUCCCCAAUAAAAAUAUUAUUUGGAUAGAGAAUAAUUUUGGUGUGUUAAUUGCAUUUUAUGACUGAAAGUCUAAUGCUUUUUUUUUUCCUUUAAUGCUCUGAUGUAAUUUUAACUUUUUCCAUUUUUCUUUAAAAUAAGAAAUAUGGUUCAAACCACUUUAAGAUUUAAGAUUAAUCAGGUUCAAAAUCAUUUUUUGUGGUAGCAGUACUUUAGGAUUUUAAGUGACAGUCUCUUAGAGUAUUUUAUGUUCAAAGGCAUAUGGUCAUAACGCCUUGGUUAACUAUUCAGUAGCUUAAUGGUACUCAUGUUAAACUUAAUACCAGAAACGCCAUCCCACUCCUUUUACCUCAGAGUAGCAACAAGAAGCAGAGAGAGAGAAUUGUUCUCUACAAGUUGGAUAUGUCCAAACCAGCACCAACUCUUAAGUCAAUUGUAGGGUUGUUAUUCCCUUGUUCACCUAAUUUUUAUGGCUACUCUGGCCAAUUAAUAUUUUAAUUGCCAGUGUCUAGAUUCCCUUUAUUGUUGAGAUGUGGCAAGUUAUUCUUGGCAUAGAUAUGGAGAGACUUAAACCUACACGCUCCUCUUUCUUUUGGAGACUAAUAAAUAAUAGUGUUAUAAGCACGUGAACUUCCACUCCAUUAACCGUAAUUUAAUUUUCCUCAGAAUCGACACCCCCCCCCCCCAAAAAAAAAUCUGGUGAAAAAUGAGGUCUUAGAGCUGUGUUUAAAAACAAACAACAAACAACUUUUCUUAAUCCUUAACCACAUUUCACAAUGGAGUUCCAACCUUUUUUUGUAAUGUGGUGACAGAGCCCGAAUCAAAUCAAUCAUGUUAACUGAAAAUAAAUAGAAAAUUUCACUUUAGAGUAUAAACAAAUGUAGCCACAACUUUUUUGAAUGAGUUAGAAAAUUACACCUGUCUGUGACUAGUGUGAACCUAAGCCAGUUCCUUAUCCUCUUUGGACCUGUCUCUUUCUCUGCAAUGUGGAAAUAAUACUUAUACUACCCAACUCACAGGGUUGUAAGAAGUGUUUUGUAAGCCUUCAAGUGCUAUAGAAGUGUGAAUUACUGGAAAAAGCAAGUAAAUCACACAAUCCAAGGAAUGAUUUACAGCAAAUAAACCUGUAAAUGGUCAGAAAAGCAGGGUACAAACUGAUCUUAAUGUAAAACAAUCUCUAGAAACACCAUAUAUAUACACCACUAAACAAAGUAAACUGUUGCCUCUGUUAUUAACCUUGAUAGCCUACUGGUUUCUUCUGUGCUAAAAGUGCACACCUGGGUUAUUUAAAGAGCCAUGCUUCAUAAUAAUAUUCUUUCAAUUAAGAAUGAGGUAGAAUACAAUGUUAUGAGGUAGAAUUUAGCCAAAUAUUCAGUUGCCUUUUACUUCCAUGCUGAGAAAAUGAACAUAUCAAAAUCCCCUUAAGAAUAAGGUGUUGAUUUAGCAAGCUCAGAAUGUGCCAUCCAGAGUCAAAAAGUAUGCCAGGCAAGGAGGGCACCAGGCCUUGCCUUGCAGCUGCUUCCCAACUUCUAGUAUAAGUACUUGGCAUUUUCUGUAGUUAUAACAAAGAUUAAUUCCACAUAAAAUCUGUUGAUUAAAACCUUAAAUGCUGCUUUUUUAAAUGACCAAAAUAGAUCUUUCAAGCAAAUUUUGCAAACUAAGUUUCACAAGAGGUUUACUAGUAUGUCUGUGAUUUAUAUUGUUAGUUUAUAGGACCGGACAUCAGGUAAGGGUUUAUUUGUUUGUUUGUUUGUUUUAAACCCUAGAGCACUGGGAAUCAUUAUAGACUCAACAUGUAAAUAAGAAAAUUAUCAGUAAGCAUAAUCUGUAGGAGUAAAUUAGACUGGGCUAAGCUACCUGGCAUCCACACUAAGUGUGGUUCCCUGGAGUGAGGAGGCCAUAGGCUGUCCAAGGAGAAUUGAACCUUUCUAGGACAAAUAAAUAGAUAAAUAAAUACGUGGAUAAAUACAUAUAUAAACACACAAAGGAAGUGGAUUUUAAGUCUAAUGCAAUUUUAGCCUUUAAAAUUAAAGUCAGG